rnacentral:rRNA from 1 species
GUGGGGAAUCUUGCGCAAUGGGCGAAAGCCUGACGCAGCCAUGCCGCGUGAAUGAUGAAGGUCUUAGGAUUGUAAAAUUCUUUCACCGGGGACGAUAAUGACGGUACCCGGAGAAGAAGCCCCGGCUAACUUCGUGCCAGCAGCCGCGGUAAUACGAAGGGGGCUAGCGUUGCUCGGAAUUACUGGGCGUAAAUGGCGCGUCGGCGGACAGUUUAGUCAGAGGUGAAAGCACAGGGCUCAACUUUGGAAUUGCCUUUGAUACUGGCUGUCUAGGGUACGGGAGAGGUGAGUGGAACUCCGGGUGUAGAGGUGAAAUUCGUAGAUAUUCGGAAGAACACCAGUGGCGAAGGCGACUCACUGGCCCGUUACUGACGCUGAGGCGCGAAAGCGUGGGGAGCAAACAGGAUUAGAUACCCUGGUAGUCC